UACAGAGGGGGCAAGCGUUGUUCGGAAUCACUGGGCUUAAAGGGCGCGUAGGCGGGUGCUCAAGUCCGUGGUGAAAUCCUCCGGCUCAACCGGAGAACUGCCUCGGAUACUGGGCGUCUCGAGUGUGGUAGGGGUAUGCGGAACUAUCGGUGGAGCGGUGAAAUGCGUUGAUAUCGAUAGGAACUCCGGUGGCGAAGGCGGCAUACUGGACCACCACUGACGCUGAUGCGCGAAAGCCAGGGGAGCGAACGGG
rnacentral:rRNA from 1 species